GAUGAACGCUAGCGGCAGGCUUAACACAUGCAAGUCGAGGGGUAGAGGAAGCUUGCUUCCUUGAGACCGGCGCACGGGUGCGUAACGCGUAUGCAAUCUACCUUUUGCAGAGGGAUAGCCCAGAGAAAUUUGGAUUAAUACCUCAUAGUAUGUGAGGAUGGCAUCAUUUUCACAUUAAAGUCACAACGGCAAAAGAUGAGCAUGCGUCCCAUUAGCUAGUUGGUAAGGUAACGGCUUACCAAGGCUACGAUGGGUAGGGGUCCUGAGAGGGAGAUCCCCCACACUGGUACUGAGACACGGACCAGACUCCUACGGGAGGCAGCAGUGAGGAAUAUUGGACAAUGGGCGCAAGCCUGAUCCAGCCAUGCCGCGUGCAGGAUGACGGUCCUAUGGAUUGUAAACUGCUUUUGUACAGGAAGAAACACUGGUUCGUGAACCAGCUUGACGGU
rnacentral:rRNA from 1 species